AUACCCUGGUAGUCCUAGCAGUAAACGAUGGGCACUAGGUGUGGGGGGUCAUCAACUCCCUCCGUGCCGCAGCUAACGCAUUAAGUGCCCCGCCUGGGGAGUACGACCGCAAGGUUAAAACUCAAAGGAAUCGACGGGGGCCCGCACAAGCAGCGGAGCAUGUGGCUUAAUUCGACGCAACGCGAAGAACCUUACCAAGGCUUGACAUGCAGGGAAAAGCGGCGGAAACGUCGUGUCCGCAAGGGCCCUGCACAGGUGGUGCAUGGCUGUCGUCAGCUCGUGUCGUGAGAUGUUGGGUUAAGUCCCGCAACGAGCGCAACCCUCGUUCUAUGUUGCCAGCACAUAAUGGUGGGGACUCAUAGGAGACUGCCGGGGUCAACUCGGAGGAAGGUGGGGAUGACGUCAAAUCAUCAUGCCCCUUAUGUUUUGGGCUUCACGCAUGCUACAAUGGCCGGUACAAAGGGCUGCGAUACCGCAAGGUGGAGCGAAUCCCAAAAAGCCGGUCUCAGUUCGGAUUGGGGUCUGCAACUCGAUCCCAUGAAGUCGGAGUCNGCUAGUAAUCGCAGAUCAGCAACGCNGCG
rnacentral:rRNA from 1 species